GAAGCCUUUCAGCAAACCAUGGAUGGCAAUGAGGCAGAGCUGGCAGAAGUCCGUUCAUUGUAUAAUGAAGUGUCAGCUCGAAAGUAUUCUGAAGGGUAGGACCAGAGCUAUAUUAUGGGCUUUGUUGGUCAAGAUCAUUACAAUAGAUGGGACACUUGUCCUAAGUAGAGAUACUGAGGGCAGAAUUACCAGUUUCCCCAAACUAGUGGUGAAUGUUGUUGAGCCGGAGGCCUUUAAUGAAUCAGAGGUAGGUUCUAACACUAAGUCUCCCCUUGAGGAGGUUACUCCAUUAAUUUCGGAAGUCUGUUGUGAAUAAACACCCAUCACUGACAAGGGUAGUUGCUGAGGUGAUGACUUUUUCUGUUGCAUAACCAAAGGUUGCUUGUAAUUCUCUUGGCCCAAAAUGCGGCUUGUCCCUUCUAUAUUUAAAAAAAAAAAUUCCCUUGUUGUGGAACUUGGGCUCCUUUUGUUUUUAAUGAAUAGAUUUGAUACUUCUUUGCAAGUUUUGGUUUUGACAAAGUAGUUCUAUUCAAGUCUUUAAGCCUGUUUGAGUAAAAUACUUAUAAUGCCUCAUUCCUUGCUCCCACAUGGUGGCAUGUAGUUUAGUCCGCCAAUAAUUUAGAGUAAGCUAACUCAGAGUAUAAGGUAUUGAGACAAACAUGGGUAGUGUGUAAGCCUGGAACAAAGCUCGAA
rnacentral:lncRNA from 1 species